CUUUGUUCUAGGAGCCACCUUAAAACCCAGCUGUCUUAAUCUUCCCCCAGACAAUUUAAUUUUUUUUUUUUCAAAAAAGAUCCUCUAAUGUGGGAGAAGGAACAAAAUGCAGAGCAGAGCAAACAUCUGGCUGGCUGAGCAGUCUGCAUUAAAAGAGGCCUCUGAGCUGUUGUCAUCGUGACCUCCACCCCCAUCCCUGCCACUUUGCCAAACACAGGCAAACACGUUCUCUGCCACGAGAUAGAACUCUGGUUUGGCUUGGCCCCUGCCGCACCCCGUGAGACACAGUCAGAGGAGGGAAGAUGGCCUGGCCAGACACAGCUUACCUGGAACUCUGAGAACCUCCUGGGUGGGGCUGGGAUUUUUUUUUUUUUUUCACGCUCCCAAAUGACAUGUCUAGCUCUGGGGCUGGGCUGGCGCAGGUUGUUUUUCUGUUAUUCUCUCAAUCUCCUUGGGCAGCACAUGGCAGGAGACACUUUGUGCUCUACUCUACCCGUUCCCCUCCUCCCUCUACCAUCUCGAAGAUGGACUCAGGCAACCAUGGAGACGGGAUCCAACCAUGAGUAGAAUUCUGUUCUGUGGCUUCAGGCAAAGCCCAAGGUCAGAAAGAAUACAGCCCAUCCAUACCAGUAGUCAUCAUCUAAUAAAAACAAAUCAAAGUCCCUGUCAUCAAGGAGCCUCCAAUCAAACAAAAGGGACGGAAGGUCUCCAGAUGGCUCUUGGAUAGUUUGUUGAGGGAGGUAAGAUGACCAAAGGGAAUUCCCUUUGGCCUCUGUUUCUGACAGCUCACCGGAGGACAUUCCACAUGGAACCACUCAUCCUGAGGAGGCUCCGGAAGGUGGUGAGGCAUCCCCAACAUGAAGGAAAGUGUGUACGGACUCUGUGGAGGUCAGAAUGGACUGGGGGACUCCAGGGACAGCAGACAGUCUGAGAGUCACUACCAUCCGUCCACCAGGGUGCUGUUACAGAGCAGGCGGCUCUGCCUCCUGUAUCCUUGUGUCAGCAACAUGAGACCCAAAGAAGUUUCCACACUGUAAGCAAGUCAAGGUCAGGCCUCUGGCUUCUUGUGAUACCUCCCAGACAGACGGCCCACCCAAGAAUUGUGCCUCAAAGGCACUCUGACACCAAGACACUCAGGUCUCUGGAGUUUGGCACCUUGGGGUAGACCCAGGGAACUUCGGCUAGCUUAUGUCCUUGGGGCAGGCAGGAGAAGACUCCAGGUCUCCCCAUGGAUUAAAAACAUUCCUUCCCUCUGAGGCCACUUCCACUGAUCACUUCCUUCUCAGUUUUCGGAGCCUUACAUUCUUUCCAUUGGAACCCCCAGUGGCUCUGCCCUGCUCAGCUAGUCUUCCUUAGUCCUUCUAGAAGGGGGUUUGAAGCUGCCACCAUACCCUCUGAACCUCCCAUGGCCUCUUGUGCAACUCGGGGGGGGGGACCCCAUUGGUCAUUUUGCUUAUUUACACUUAGGAGGAGUCUAUGGCUCCUGAUGUCCCCAGCAGUCAGGAAUUGUCUUAGAGUGGGCGCUCGCUUCUCUUGGGCAUCCUUAACCAUGGUAGAGGGGGAUAGGUAGACACAAAAAAGUAGUGAGAUCGGGA
rnacentral:lncRNA from 1 species